rnacentral:snoRNA from 1 species
AUCCUUCGGUUCAUAAGCGUGAUGACUGGGUGUUCACGCUCUUGUGUGAGAUGUGCCUCCCUCUAAACCUUGUUACGACAUCAGCACAUUACCCAUCUGACG